rnacentral:tRNA from 1 species
UCCUGUAGCUCAGUUGGUUGAGCGUAAGGCUCUCAACUUUGUGGUCGUGGGUUCGAGCCCCACAGCGGGAG